rnacentral:rRNA from 1 species
UACGGAGGGUGCGAGCGUUAUUCGGAAUCACUGGGCGUAAAGGGCGCGUAGGCGGCCUGGUAAGUCAGGGGUGAAAUCCCACGGCUCAACCGUGGAAUUGCCUUUGAAACUGCUGGGCUUGGAUCCUGGAGAGGGUGGCGGAAUUCCUGGUGUAGGAGUGAAAUCCGUAGAUAUCAGGAGGAACACCGGUGGCGAAGGCGGCCACCUGGGCAGGUAUCGACGCUGAGGCGCGAAAGUGUGGGGAGCAAACAGG